rnacentral:ncRNA from 1 species
CAGAGUAGAGCCAGCGCGUCAAGUGCCGCGGGAUGGGAGGUUGCCCGCGGACGAAGCGCCGGUCCUGGACCGGCGCGCGGUGCUGUCUCGCAUCCGCUGC